AGCCACGGUGAGCUCAAAGCGAACUAUUUUUUCGUCUUUUACUGAAUAACAUCCUGUGCUCGUCGCAAUUAGUGACAUAUGUCUAUUUUUGGAAGGGUUCUCUUUGUGGAGUUAC
rfam:Capsicum annuum cultivar Zunla-1 chromosome 10, whole genome shotgun sequence